GACGAACGCUGGCGGCGCGCUUAACACAUGCAAGUCGAACGGAAAGGCCUGCUUUCCCUUGUGGAUUGCGGGUACUCGAGUGGCGAACGGGUGAGUAACACGUGAGUGAUCUGCCCCCAACUUGGGUAUAAGCCUGGGAAACUGGGUCUAAUUCCCGAUAGGACUGCAGGGUGGUGCCUGUGGUGGAAAACGAUUUUCUAGUGGUUGGGGAUGAGCUCGCGGCCUAUCAGCUUGUUGGUGGGGUAAUGGCCUACCAAGGCGGCGACGGGUAGCCGGCCCGAGAGGGUGGACGGCCACAUUGGGACUGAGAUACGGCCCAGACUCCUACGGGAGGCAGCAGUGGGGAAUAUUGCACAAUGGGCGGAAGCCUGAUGCAGCGACGCCGCGUGGGGGAUGACGGCCUUCGGGUGGUAAACUCCUUUCGACCGCGAGGAAGCCACCUGGUUGGAAGGGUGGUGACGGUAGUGGUAGAAGAAGCACCGGCUAACUACGUG
rnacentral:rRNA from 1 species